rnacentral:other from 1 species
UUAGCCCUGCCAUGCUCGUGAUUCGAAACUAAGUCCUUGAACCGUAAUAAGAAAAAAAGAGGGACUUUGACUUCCGGGGGGUUGAGCAAGCCGGCCUUGUAGUCGGAAGCCAUAAACCUCGGAUUGAGUCCCACCUGGACAUAAAAUGUUCAGAGGAACAGUUUCCACACGGCAUCUGGCGGGGUUUUU